CCAUUGUCACACUCCAAA
rnacentral:misc_RNA from 2 species